rnacentral:rRNA from 1 species
GAUGAACGCUGGCGGCGUGCCUAAUACAUGCAAGUCGAGCGAACAGACGAGGAGCUUGCUCCUCUGACGUUAGCGGCGGACGGGUGAGUAACACGUGGAUAACCUACCUAUAAGACUGGGAUAACUUCGGGAAACCGGAGCUAAUACCGGAUAAUAUAUUGAACCGCAUGGUUCAAUAGUGAAAGACGGUUUUGCUGUCACUUAUAGAUGGAUCCGCGCCGCAUUAGCUAGUUGGUAAGGUAACGGCUUACCAAGGCAACGAUGCGUAGCCGACCUGAGUGGGUAGUCGACCACCAGUGAACUAGGACACGGUCCAGACUCCUACGGGAAGCAGCAGGAGGGAAACUUCCGAAAAUGGCGAAAGCCUUACGGAACAACGCCGCGUGAGUUAUAAAAGUCUUCGGAUCGUAAAACUCUGUUAGUAGGGAAAAACAAAUGUGUAAGUAACUAUGCACGUCUCGACGGUACCUAAUCAGAAAGCCACGGGUAAGUACGUG